UACGAAGGGGGCUAGCGUUGCUCGGAAUCACUGGGCGUAAAGCGCACGUAGGCGGAUCUUUAAGUCAGGGGUGAAAUCCUGGAGCUCAACUCCAGAACUGCCUUUGAUACUGGGGAUCUCGAGUCCGGAAGAGGUGAGUGGAACUCCGAGUGUAGAGGUGAAAUUCGUAGAUAUUCGGAAGAACACCAGUGGCGAAGGCGGCUCACUGGUCCGGUACUGGACGCUGAGGUGCGAAAGCGAUGGGG
rnacentral:rRNA from 1 species